rnacentral:rRNA from 1 species
UACGGAGGGGGGCAAGCGUUAUUCGGUCUAACUAGGCGUAAAGGGUCCGUAGGCGGUUAAAAAAAGUUGAAAGCAAAAAGCCAAAGGCUUAACCUUUGAAAAGAUUUUUCAAAACUAUUUAACUAGAGUAUUACAGGGGGAUAGUGGAAUUUCUGUAGUAGGGAUGGAAUCCAUUGAUAACAGAAGGAACACCAGUGGCGAAGGCGACUAUCUGGGUAAUACUGACGCUGAGGGGACGAAGGCAUGGGGGAGCAAAUGGG